ACGAACGCUGGCGGCGUGCUUAACACAUGCCAGUCGAACGGAAAGGCCCUGCUUUUGUGGGGUGCUCGAGUGGCGAACGGGUGAGUAACACGUGAGUAACCUGCCCUUGACUUUGGGAUAACUUCAGGAAACUGGGGCUAAUACCGGGUAGGAGCUCCUGCUGCAUGGUGGGGGUUGGAAAGUUUCGGCGGUUGGGGAUGGACUCGCGGCUUAUCAGCUUGUUGGUGGGGUAGUGGCUUACCAAGGCUUUGACGGGUAGCCGGCCUGAGAGGGUGACCGGCCACAUUGGGACUGAGAUACGGCCCAGACUCCUACGGGAGGCAGCAGUGGGGAAUAUUGCACAAUGGGCGGAAGCCUGAUGCAGCAACGCCGCGUGCGGGAUGACGGCCUUCGGGUUGUAAACCGCUUUCGCCUGUGACGAAGCGUGAGUGACGGUAAUGGGUAAAGAAGCACCGGCUAACUACGUG
rnacentral:rRNA from 1 species